AAUAGAUACCCCGGUAGUCCACGCCGUAAACGAUGAGUGCUAAGUGUUAGGGGGUUUCCGGCCCCUUAGUGCUGCAGCUAACGCAUUAAGCACUCCGCCUGGGGAGUACGGUCGCAAGACUGAAACUCAAAGGAAUUGACGGGGGCCCGCACAAGCGGUGGAGCAUGUGGUUUAAUUCGAAGCAACGCGAAGAACCUUACCAGGUCUUGACAUCCCAUUGACCACUAUGGAGACAUAGUUUUCCCUUCGGGGACAACGGUGACAGGUGGUGCAUGGUUGUCGUCAGCUCGUGUCGUGAGAUGUUGGGUUAAGUCCCGCAACGAGCGCAACCCUUGUUCUUAGUUGCCAUCAUUUAGUUGGGCACUCUAAGGAGACUGCCGGUGACAAACCGGGUGGAAGGUGGGGAUGACGUCAAAUCAUCAUGCCCCUUAUGACCUGGGCUACACACGUGCUACAAUGGACGGUACAAACGGUUGCCAAACCCGGCGAGGGGGGAGCCUAAAUCCCGGAUAAAACCCGUUCUACAGUUCGGAUUGUAGGCUGCAACUCGCCUACAUGAAGCCG
rnacentral:rRNA from 1 species